GACGAACGCUGGCGGCGUGCUUAACACAUGCAAGUCGAACGGAAAGGCCCUGCUUUUGUGGGGUGCUCGAGUGGCGAACGGGUGAGUAACACGUGAGUAACCUGCCCUUGACUUUGGGAUAACUUCAGGAAACUGGGGCUAAUACCGGAUAGGAGCUCCUGCUGCAUGGUGGGGGUUGGAAAGUUUCGGCGGUUGGGGAUGGACUCGCGGCCUAUCAGCUUGUUGGUGGGGUAGUGGCUUACCAAGGCUUUGACGGGUAGCCGGCCUGAGAGGGUGACCGGCCACAUUGGGACUGAGAUACGGCCCAGACUCCUCCGGGAGGCAGAAGUGGGGAAGAUUGCACAAUGGGCGGAAGCCUGAUGCAGCAACGCCGCGUGCGGGAUGACGGCCUUCGGGUUGUAAACCGCUUUCGCCUGUGACGAAGCGUGAGUGACGGUAAUGGGUAAAGAAGCACCGGCUAACUACGUG
rnacentral:rRNA from 1 species